CCUACGGGUGGCAGCAGUGGGGAAUAUUGGACAAUGGGCGAAAGCCUGAUCCAGCCAUGCCGCGUGUGUGAAGAAGGCCUUCGGGUUGUAAAGCACUUUCAGUGGGGAAGAAAGCCUUGGGGCUAAUACCCUCGAGGAAGGACAUCACCCACAGAAGAAGCACCGGCUAACUCCGUGCCAGCAGCCGCGGUAAUACGGAGGGUGCGAGCGUUAAUCGGAAUUACUGGGCGUAAAGCGCGCGUAGGCGGUCUGAUAAGCCGGUUGUGAAAGCCCCGGGCUCAACCUGGGAACGGCAUCCGGAACUGUCAGGCUAGAGUGCAGGAGAGGAAGGUAGAAUUCCCGGUGUAGCGGUGAAAUGCGUAGAGAUCGGGAGGAAAACCAGUGGCGAAGGCGGCCUUCUGGACUGACACUGACGCUGAGGUGCGAAAGCGUGGGUAGCAAACAGGAUUAGAUACCCCAGUAGUC
rnacentral:rRNA from 1 species